rnacentral:rRNA from 1 species
AGUGAACGCUGGCGGUAGGCCUAACACAUGCAAGUCGAACGGCAGCACAGGAGAGCUUGCUCUCUGGGUGGCGAGUGGCGGACAGGUGAGGAAUACAUCGGAAUCUGCCCAGUCGUGGGGGAUAACGUAGGGAAACUUACGCUAAUACCGCAUACGACCUUCGGGUGAAAGAGGGGGAUCGCAAGACCUCUCGCGAUUGGAUGAGCCGAUGUCGGAUUAGCUAGUUGGCGGGGUAAUGGCCCACCAAGGCGACGAUCCGUAGCUGGUCUGAGAGGAUGAUCAGCCACACUGGAACUGAGACACGGUCCAGACUCCUACGGGAGGCAGCAGUGGGGAAUAUUGGACAAUGGGCGCAAGCCUGAUCCAGCCAUACCGCGUGGGUGAAGAAGGCCUUCGGGUUGUAAAGCCCUUUUGUUGGGAAAGAAAUCUUUCAGGCUAAUACCCUGGGAGGAUGACGGUACCCAAAGAAUAAGCACCGGCUAACUUCGUG